UACGUGAGGGGCAAGCGUUGUCCGGAUUUAUUGGGCGUAAAGCGCUCGCAGGUGGUCCGCUGCGUCGAUGCGUGAAAGACCCCGGCUCAACUGGGGGGCGUCGUUGCGAUACGGGGCGGACUGGAGGCCAGUAGGGGGAUGCGGAAUUCCGGGUGUAGUGGUGGAAUGCGUAGAGAUCCGGAGGAACACCAGCGGCGAAGGCGGACAUCCUGGACUGGUCCUGACACUCAUGAG
rnacentral:rRNA from 1 species